UCUUUUUUACGUUGUUCUUUAUUUGGGAAUAUUGGGCAAUGGGCGCAAGCCUGACCCAGCAACGCCGCGUGAAGGAAGAAGGCCCUCGGGUUGUAAACUUCUUUUAUCAAGGACGAAACAAAUGACGGUACUUGAUGAAUAAGCCACGGCUAACUACGUGCCAGCAGCCGCGGUAAUACGUAGGUGGCAAGCGUUAUCCGGAUUUACUGGGUGUAAAGGGCGUGUAGGCGGGACUGCAAGUCAGACGUGAAAA
rnacentral:rRNA from 1 species